AGUGAACGCUGGCGGUAGGCCUAACACAUGCAAGUCGAACGGCAGCACAGUCAGAGCUUGCUCUUACGGGUGGCGAGUGGCGGACGGGUGAGGAAUACAUCGGAAUCUACUUUUUCGUGGGGGAUCACGUAGGGAAACUUACGCUAAUACCGCAUACGACCUACGGGUGAAAGCAGGGGAUCUUCGGACCUUGCGCGAUUGAAUGAGCCGAUGUCGGAUUAGCUAGUUGGCGGGGUAAAGGCCCACCAAGGCGACGAUCCGUAGCUGGUCUGAGAGGAUGAUCAGCCACACUGGAACUGAGACACGGUCCAGACUCCUACGGGAGGCAGCAGUGGGGAAUAUUGGACAAUGGGCGCAAGCCUGAUCCAGCCAUACCGCGUGGGUGAAGAAGGCCUUCGGGUUGUAAAGCCCUUUUGUUGGGAAAGAAAAGCAGCAGGUUAAUACCCCGCUGUUCUGACGGUACCCAAAGAAUAAGCACCGGCUAACUUCGUG
rnacentral:rRNA from 1 species